GGGGCUGCCUCUGGAAUGCACACCAGGGCUUGUCCACACACACUCCCCGGCCCUCUGCGCCUCUUUAGGGAGGUUCCUGCUGCUGGAUCUGCUGCCUUCUUCACCUUGAGAGUGCAUUUAUGUAACAAGAAAACACCUGGGUGUUUUCACAGGUAGGAAGAGAUUGGCGGCUGAGCUGUUCUCUCAUUUGGAUGCAAGGCUGUGAGAUGGGGCCUCUGUUGGCCUAGAGGUCCCGAGAAAUUGGGAGGAGAGGUGCCAGUAGCAAGCCCCAAGGUCGGGGUUCCUCCUCUAACCUCUCUGUGGGGUGGAGGCAUCCACACCAAACCUUAAGAGGGAGCAAUGGGUCUAACUGCUAAUUCUGAAGGUGAGCAGGCCCGUUUCCACAUGCCAAUGUCAAAAUCCAACCACAGUUUGACAAGCCUUUGGGAACAUCCAGUAAUUACAUAAUAGCACUCCCAAACAUGACAAGUGCUUUCAUCUUUACAAAGACUGUCGUGUUUGUUCUCACUCUCCUCCCCAUAUGAGUUGCUUCUCUUUCUUUCCCCUAUUUUGCAGAUAAGAAGGUGGAGGCUCAGGAAGGUAGAGUGACUUUCUACUACUAAAGAACUAGCAGGAAAGUAUUUCAAAUUCAAGUCUCAUGACCCUAAAUGCAGGGUAUUUCCCAGUGGCUCAUGGUAAAUGAGUUCCUUAAAAAUGAGCCACGCUGAGGCCUGAAACUACAGGGCUUACUGAUGUGGCUGCAAGCUGCAGCUCUAAGCCAGAAAGGGGACAAGCUAAGGAGAAGAGGAACCACCUUUGCACUGGCGGACUUCAGCGUGUCUCACGCAUGCCGAAUGUUUACAUGUGUUCCCCACUUGGUAUCCAUAGCAACUGGCAGAGGUGCAAAAAUGCUUCAUUGGUAUUUGUAAGAGGAUGAGAAGAAAGCCCUCCAAGAUCCUCUUUCUCCCAGUGGGCAGGGCUAUUUCCAUCCAUGGCUUCGUGACUUCUCCCAGCAGCCGUUUGGCAUGAGGAUUUCAAACAGCAGGGAGCCAGUGAGUCCACCGGAUAGGUAUUUGAAAUGUACUGAAUGGAAAGCCCUCAUCUCCUGCUCCCUCUUCCAGGCAAUUAUUCAUGGAGUCAGGAGAGGAUUCUGUUAUUCAAGGAGUCUCCAUAGUAAGGGGCUGAGAGAUUGUGGUUUCUAGUCUUUAACCACAACAUUUAAGGCGUGGCUCCAUUUUUCUUAUAAUUUCCAAGUGUACAUCAUUACCUAAUUCUCCCUGAAGAAUCGAAAUUGCUUUAUGAUGCAUAUGUAUUAGUGAUGUGAGCUGAGGUUCGGAGCCAGCAAACAUCUUUCUCAGAAACCUCCCUCUUGUUCUCCUCUCCCAUGUUGCCCCUUGAAGUUACUCCUUCUACCAGAGAUGCUCAAAGGUUCUUGGUCAGAAAGUCUAUAUUGCAGCAAUUAAAACUGGGGUUCAACUCAACAUAUGUGUAGCAGAAUAUUUUAUCUCUCAGCAUCUCAAUUUGUGACUUAAAUGAUUCAUGAGAUGUUUGUUAGUGCAUUAUGGUCAAAAGCACCUUUCUAAGUGCUUUGAGAGAAACAAGAAUAAAAGCAUUCCUAACCACACCCUGCCCCCUGCAAUCCCACCAAGGAUCUUACAAAACCCAUUUGGCUAAGCUCUUAUAUAGCAUUGAACCAAUCACUGCACACUCAGCAUGUGACCAACACAUAUAUUGAAGCCCACGUGAAAAACUGAGCACCUAUUCAAGUUUCCCAGGCAGGGCUAGAUUCAUGGGCAGGUAACCAGUGCAGUUGCACAGGGACCUCUGCUCAGAAGGCCUUGCUUGGGGUUUAAUGCACAAUUCUUAAUUUAUCUUUCAAUGUGUAUUUUGUAAGAGGAGUCUCAUGGGACAAAGGAGCUCACUCGUGGUCCUGCCUCCUACCCACCCUCUGUUUGGGCCCUUAGUGUCCCAGGCUCCACUCUACCUACUCCCCACCCUCUGCUCCACAACACUUGCUACCCUUCCCUCAGGGUGACUACUAGGUCAGGUUGGCAGACAGGGAGGCAACAUUCUGCCCACACCCUCUGCAGGGGCCUGGGAGCAGUUGUGGGGAGAGGCUCUGCUGGGUAUGCACACCAUGGCAUCCUGGGAAAGAGCAUGGCGGUGUUGUCCCUACCCUGGGCUGACAGCACGGUGGUAUAUUUGGAAGGCAACUGGAUGGGGCCUUCUCACCCACUCCUAUCCAGGUUACAGGUGUGUCCUGGUGUGGAGGUUGCAAUCCCUUGGUAGGGGCACUGUAGAUAGACUGAGGAGAGACAGGCUGUGGGAAGGAGAAACUAACUUAUCUGCCAUGGCUAGGCCUCAUUUUCACUUUGCACUUAGGUCCCACCAUUAUGUAGCCAGCUCUGGUCCUGGACCAAAUGGCCUCUAGUGACUCCCUCUUUCCAAUCUAAGCAGGUCUUGCACAACUGUCAUGAAUGAAGCCAAUUCUGAUUUCCUAUCAGUUCAAUUUUUUAAAAAUUGCAUUCUGUUCCUCAGAAUCCAUUCCAACCAUAAAAACAUGAAAAAUUGAUUUUGAUCUCAGUAUAACAUCACCUCAUAAAUAUAUUUUAUAUAAUCACGAUCUUUAGAACUUGCUCUCUGUAUAAAAUGGGUUUCACACCUCAGCUCUUAAAGGCACUUGUUUAUUAUGGAAAAUCAAGCAUAAUGUAAAAUUUACAUCUUAAGUGUGGCUUAUGAGAGAUUUUCCUGCAGAGACAGGACUGACUGAAGCUUUGUUCUUUAAACUUGGGCAAACAUUUUACAUGUUGAAAAGUAUCAUUUUGAUGAUGAUUUCUUUUCAACACUUUUCCAGCUUUCGAAGGAAGAAUUACAAAUAACAAGGCAUGACACUUCCCCC
rnacentral:lncRNA from 10 species